rnacentral:rRNA from 1 species
UAGGGAAUCUUCCGCAAUGGACGCAAGUCUGACGGAGCAACGCCGCGUGAGUGAAGAAGGAUUUCGGUUCGUAAAACUCUGUUGUUAGAGAAGAACAGCGCAUAGAGUAACUGUUAUGCGUGUGACGGUAUCUAACCAGAAAGCCACGGCUAACUACGUGCCAGCAGCCGCGGUAAUACGUAGGUGGCAAGCGUUGUCCGGAUUUAUUGGGCGUAAAGCGAGCGCAGGCGGUCAAUUAAGUCUGAUGUGAAAGCCCCCGGCUCAACCGGGGAGGGUCAUUGGAAACUGGUUGACUGGAGUGCAGAAGAGGAGAGUGGAAUUCCAUGUGUAGCGGUGAAAUGCGUGGUUAUAUGGAGGAACACCAGUGGCGAAGGCGACUCUCUGGUCUGUAACUGACGCUGAGGCUCGAAAGCGUGGGUAGCAAACAGG